rnacentral:rRNA from 1 species
UGGGGAAUUUUGGACAAUGGGCGCAAGCCUGAUCCAGCCAUGCCGCGUGCAGGAUGAAGGCCCUCGGGUUGUAAACUGCUUUUGUACGGAACGAAAAGCCUCUUUCUAAUAAAGAGGGGUGAUGACGGUACCGUAAGAAUAAGCACCGGCUAACUACGUGCCAGCAGCCGCGGUAAUACGUAGGGUGCGAGCGUUAAUCGGAAUUACUGGGCGUAAAGCGUCCGCAGGCGGUCUUGCAAGACAGUGGUGAAAUCCCCGGGCUCAACCUGGGAACUGCCAUUGUGACUGCAAGGCUGGAGUACGGCAGAGGGGGAUGGAAUUCCGCGUGUAGCAGUGAAAUGCGUAGAUAUGCGGAGGAACACCGAUGGCGAAGGCAGUCCCCUGGGCCUGUACUGACGCUCAUGCACGAAAGAGUGGGGAGCAAACA